UUUUUUUUUAGAUAUCUAAUACAACAUCUUAGAUAUUUUAUUAAUAAUUUGGUACAGCUUUAAAAAUAUUGUAUUAAUAUUUUCUGAAAUAUUUUAUUAAUACUUUUGGAUAAAGGUUACUAACAAUGGAAGUAUUUUACUUAUUUUUAAAAAAUAUUUUUAGGAUAUUUUAACAACAGAUUUUUUUGGCAUGUUUCAUUAAAAUAUUGGAUAUUUUAGUCUUACUAUAUUUUAUUAAUGUGCAUACAGUUAAUUUGUUAGGAUUUAGUUAAUUUUUGGACAUUUUUGUUAAAAGUUGUGGGGAUAUUAUGUUUAGGACAGUUUAAUAAUAGCAAAUUUAAAAAAAAAUAAAUAAAUUCAGAAUCAGCUUUAAUGGCCAAAAACGUACACAACAGGUUUCGGCUGUUGGUGUCACUCUAGGAAUAAGUAAAAAGAGAAUAAUACAAUGACUAUAGAAAGAAGAAAAGUGAUUGUAAAAGAAAAACUAAAUAUAUGCAUAUGUUUACACAUCUAGAAAAGAACAUAUGUACACAGUAUUGCAAAAUGACAAUUGUAGAGUGAGAAAACAGUGCAAAAAGCAGAGAACAGAUAAUGUACAUAUCCACUGGUAUAUUGUACAGGUGUGGAGGAAUGACUCAGCUGUUUAUUGGAGUGAUGGCAGUGAGGAAGAAGCUGUUCUUAUGUCUGGAGGUUUUAGUGUUCGUGGCUCUGUAGCGCCUGCUGGAGGUGAAGGGGGAGAACAGUUUUUAUCCAGGGUUGUGGGGUCUCUGAUGAUGUUCCCUCUUCCUGGUUCUAGUGGAGAACAGUUCCAGGCUCCAAUGAUGUUCUAUGCAGUCUGUUUCUGUCCUGCUGUGGCUGAUCCAGAUGUGCACAGGACAGAUUGGAUGACAGCCGUGUAGAACUGGAUCAGCAGCUCCUGUUGCAGUAAAAACGUCCUCUGCUGAACCUUUUUCAGGAUGGAGCGGAUGUUCGUCUCCCACUUCAGGUCCUGAGGGAUUGUAGUCCCCAGGAGCUUGGAGGACGCCACAACAGGGCUGUUGCUAAUAGUGACGAGGCUGUCUCCUGAAGUCCUCUAUCAUCUCCAAGUUGUUCUGGCUGCAGCAGAUCAUCAGACGCUCAACUUCCUGCCGAUAUGCAGACUGGUCACCGUCCUGGAUCAGGCCAGUGACAGUUGUGUCGUCUGCAAACUUCAGGCGUUUAACUGCUGGGUGCUUGGAGGUGCAGUCGUUGGAGGGAGAAGAGAUGUGGAGACAGGAUACACCUCUGGGGGGCGCCGUGCUGACAGUCCAGGUGGUUGAGGUGACGUCUCCCAGCCUCAGGCACAUGGAUGGAGACACAUUGAGGUUGGUGGAGAGGAUUUCAGGGAUGAUGUUGCUGAAUGUCGAGGUAAAAUCCAUAAACGGGAUCCUCCAAUAACUCCCAGGGUCAUCUAGAUGUUGCAGGAUGUAGUGCUGCCUCAGACUGUCUGCAUCAUCUAACGACCUGUUGGCCAAAAAAAAAGUUGCCACCUGGAUUUGGUAAGCAAAUAGGUUUCCCAGAGACUAUGGGUUGAGGAGGAAUUGGAAGUUUGUCGGCUUAGACCUGGUGUCAUUCCAUCAGUGUUUAACUUCCCGGCUCAUCUUGGAAGAGUACGUACGAGAAAGACCAUGACCAAGCAGCCUUGAGAUCUUAGACAGCGUCUCCCUCAGACCAAAGAACUACAGACUCUUCACAACCUGCUCAAACUCUUGGUACAGGACCUCACCACACGGGUCAAGAAGGUUUCUGUCUCAUUUCUACUCUGAAGCUCACCUUCUCCUGCUCAAACUGCUGACAAAUGUUUCUGCUGCUCUAAAGUCUGG
ensembl:lncRNA